ACCUCUGCGGCUGUCGAAGGUCUCGCGCAAGCGAGUGAAAAGGGAACGCUGAAGAAUCCGGCCGGGCCAUCAGUCCGGGGUUCAGGCAGCGGCUGCCCCCGCAACUGUAAACGGUGCGCUGAUGCCUCACGCCACUGGCCCAAAAGGCUGGGAAGGCGCAUCAGAUCCCCCUCCGUGAGCCAGGAGACCUGCCUUCGUCGCUCAGUCAUGA
rnacentral:ncRNA from 12 species